UGGGGAAUUUUGGACAAUGGGCGAAAGCCUGAUCCAGCAAUGCCGCGUGUGUGAAGAAGGCCUUCGGGUUGUAAAGCACUUUUGUCCGGAAAGAAAUCCUUGGCUCUAAUACAGUCGGGGGAUGACGGUACCGGAAGAAUAAGCACCGGCUAACUACGUGCCAGCAGCCGCGGUAAUACGUAGGGUGCAAGCGUUAAUCGGAAUUACUGGGCGUAAAGCGUGCGCAGGCGGUUUGCUAAGACCGAUGUGAAAUCCCCGGGCUCAACCUGAGAACUGCAUUGGUGACUGGCAGGCUAGAGUAUGGCAGAGGGGGGUAGAAUUCCACGUGUAGCAGUGAAAUGCGUAGAGAUGUGGAGGAAUACCGAUGGCGAAGGCAGCCCCCUGGGCCAAUACUGACGCUCAUGCACGAAAGCGUGGGGAGCAAACAGGAUUAGAUACCCUGGUAGUCCACGCCCUAAACGAUGUCAACUAGUUGUUGGGGAUUCAUUUCCUUAGUAACGUAGCUAACGCGUGAAGUUGACCGCCUGGGGAGUACGGUCGCAAGAUUAAAACUUAAAGGAAUUGACGGGGUCAUAGCUGUUUCCU
rnacentral:rRNA from 1 species